GUUACGUAAUACACUUUUGCUCUUAAUUAGAUUGGUAUUAUUAAUUUAUCUGAGACCGGGAUCCGUGAUCUUGAUUCCAUGAAUGAGGAUUGGCACAUUUUACCACUUACACAUCAAUAAUAAAAGUACUUAUAAUAAAGAAUAUAUGUUUUGGUAACAAAAAUAUUUAAAACAUCUCCAAAGUUAUUCUUAUAGUAUAAAGUAAAUUAUUAGGUAUAAGAAGUUAUAAUUUGUCACAUUUCUUACAAACGUAAUCAGUUUUUCUUCUCAGUGCAUUUUCCGCUUACGUAUUUUUUGCAGAUAUUACAAACUCUUCGAGUCUUAUUAUUAUUACAAUACCCUGUCUGACACCACUUGCGUGAAUAAAGUGAGCUGUUUAAAGUUCUUUGGACAUCUUCCCGUGAUUCCAUCCUUGGUUUUACAUUUUCAGUAGCAAGAUCAUUUGCUAGUUAAAACACAAAAUGUUUUCUGGAUAUCUUUUUAGCUGUUGUUUCUUUAAAUAAGAUCCAGGCAAAUCUAAAAUGUUGAAAAAUACUUGAAGCUACCUUCUUGAUUCUGAUUUGCUAUAUUUGUUUGCCAUUUAGUCUGCAACGUCUACGCCAAAUUUAGUCUUAUUAUAAAAUGCAACCGUUUCAGUUUCCUCUGGUAACUUUCACGGUCAUAGAAUGCAUCAUUCUCGAUAUCAGAGCAUUACAUUCGUAUAUUGUUCAUUUUUUCCAAAAAUUCAGAGAUUAUCAAUCGUUAUAUCAUUUUCACGGUAUAUAAAAUAUUAUUGCGGCUGAAGAUGUACAACACUGUAACGGAUAUCAUUAUUCUUAUCCAACUUGUAUCAUUUUGUAUGACGUAGCUUCUCCAAUUCAUUUAAACGUAAAGUGCGCU